rnacentral:lncRNA from 1 species
AAACUCGAACUCUAUUUAAAAAUAGAAAGCAAAGGUUCCAAUAAGGAGUCCGACUUUAAAGGGUUACUGUCUGCAGGUUUCCAAGUACCUGCAUUUGGGACUGAAAGACACAGAAACUCAGAAUAUCCAAACAGCAGGAGAAGAUGACACAUCCUUCUAGAAGAAUUAGUGUGCAGGGAUGCCCAGCUCCCUUGCCCCAUGCAUUAGUCAUGAUGACCUUCAUUUUCUUUGGGAGAAAUGUUGCCCUCCUGUCAACAAGGACUGGCCUACUUCCAUCAAAAGCCACACCCAUCUGUUCUCACAGAACUGCACAGGCAGCCUGAGUGUGAAACCAUGGGCAUUUGAGCAUGAUGGAGUUAGAUGUGGGGAAAGAUGCUCUUGGCACCAGUGGCUGCCUAGGAACGGAGAGGCCUCACCUGCCCUGAACAGGUCACUGCUAAUGAGAAUUGGAUGUUUUCUGUAUUCUUGCACUGGUUCUCAUGGCUAUGACUCAUGUCUGCAAAGGAAUACCUGACCCACUCCUCAGGUGUCCUUUCUCCUAAAUCAGACACCACAUGGGGAUCAGAGGUUACAGGAUCCCCAAGCUUCUGAUCUGAAGUAGAAAGGGUCCUUGGGAGACAUCCCAGUAGUGCCCGCUCUUCAGCCAAGGCUGUGACUCAGAGAAAGUAGGUCCCUUCCAUGUGUGAAUGUUACAAGGGAGAAGCUUGUUCUGCUCUCUCUAAGGCUGAAGCCUGGAAG